rnacentral:lncRNA from 1 species
CAGAUUUGAGUUCAAGUAUAUAUCCUCCUAAGCCUGUAAUUUACCUAAAUUCCGCAGUUUCCCCUUCAAAAUGAAGGUGUCGAGGGACCCGGGGCAGUAGAUCAAAACGAAAGAGAUACACCCACACUUGACGUCCGUGGUGAAAGAGGUGCACACGCAGAGAGUUGUCACCUUUGGGGUUGAUCUGAACCGGCUGCACCAGAGGUCGAACUGGGACCAGCACCAUUUUCAAGGGGAGGAGAGGUGCCCCAUUUCCCUUCUGAUUCUAGUGGUUCAAGUACGCACACCCCACCAUCUGUGAGUCCUAAUGCAAACUGAUUAGGUUCAGAUGGAUGUGCCGCAACGACGAGAGG